UCUGAGAUAAGGCAGAGCUGAGA
rnacentral:piRNA from 1 species